rnacentral:rRNA from 1 species
CCUACGGGAGGCAGCAGUGGGGAAUAUUGCUCAAUGGGCGAAACCCUGAAGCAGCAACGCCGCGUGGAGGAUGAAGGUUUUCGGAUUGUAAACUCCUUUUGUUAGAGAAGAUAAUGACGGUAUCUAACGAAUAAGCACCGGCUAACUCCGUGCCAGCAGCCGCGGUAAUACGGAGGGUGCAAGCGUUACUCGGAAUCACUGGGCGUAAAGAGCACGUAGGCGGGAUAGCAAGUCAGAUGUGAAAUCCUAUGGCUUAACCAUAGAACUGCAUUUGAAACUGUUAUUCUAGAGUGUGGGAGAGGUAGGUGGAAUUCGUGGUGUAGGGGUAAAAUCCGUAGAGAUCAAGAGGAAUACUCAUUGCGAAGGCGACCUGCUAGAACAUAACUGACGCUGAGGCGCGAAAGCGUGGGGAGCAAACAGGAUUAGAUACCCCUGUAGUC